rnacentral:rRNA from 1 species
CAGCACCUCAAGUGGUCAGGAUGAUUAUUGGGCCUAAAGCAUCCGUAGCCGGCGCUGUAAGUUUUCGGUUAAAUCUGUACGCUCAACGUACAGGCUGCCGGGAAUACUGCAGCGCUAGGGAGUGGGAGAGGUAGACGGUACUCGGUAGGAAGGGGUAAAAUCCUUUGAUCUAUUGAUGACCACCUGUGGCGAAGGCGGUCUACCAGAACACGUCCGGCGGUGAGGGAUGAAAGCUGGGGGAGCAAACCGGAUUAGAUACCCGAGUAGUCC